GCCAAGAGUGGUGGUGCACUCUUGUAAUCCCAGCUAUUUGGGAGGCUGAGGCAGGAGGGUUACAAGUUUGAGGCCAGCGUUGGUGUCACACCAAUAGUGAGACCCCGUCUCCA
rnacentral:sRNA from 1 species